rnacentral:misc_RNA from 1 species
UUCUAGACUUGCUUUGCAUGACGGGCUCUCCGUGCUUAUGUGCGGCCAACCGACAUGGGGCUGUCUCUUCAUUCUCCCUCUCGUCAUUACAUUUGUCGGGAUGUGAUGCUCGUAAUUGGUUGCCUGUGUGGUUCUACCCUUUUGUGGGUAGCGAAGUCGUCCCUUGAUGCACAUUUACUUGCCCUGUUGACAUUGUUUUGUCGCUCGGGCAGUCGAAAUGUCGGCAAAAUCCUUGUGUUGUUGCGUGGGCGAAUGCCUUGUUACUGUCACUUGGUUUUUUGUCGGCUCUCACGGAUGCUGUGCCUAUUGUUAGCUCUGCGGGACUCUGUCCCGCAGACUUCGGGAGGUCCCUUGUAUGGAUCAUUGCUCUGGCGCUCGAUUUUCAUGUUGUUCAUGGCGACAUGCCAAAUCUGUGCGCGGGUAGCGUGCUCACGUGCAUGUGGAAUGCCUCACCGAUUGAAUGAGCAGCGAUUGCUGGUUUUCGUCAUGCGAAGGUCCUCCCAUUCGGGUUGGUGCUGGAGAUGACGUGCCGGCUCUCGUUNAAGACGUGCUACCUGGUUGAU